UACGUAUGGAGCAAGCGUUAUCCGGAUUUACUGGGUGUAAAGGGAGCGUAGACGGUUUGCCAAGCCUGAUGUGAAAGGUGUGGGCUCAACCCGCAAACUGCAUUGGAAACUGGUAGACUAGAGUGUCGGAGGGGUAAGUGGAAUUCCUAGAGUAGCGGUGAAAUGCGUAGAUAUUAGGAGGAACACCAGCGGCGAAGGCGGCUUACUGGACGAUAACUGACGUUGAGGCUCGAAAGCGUGGGUAGCAAAC
rnacentral:rRNA from 1 species